GACGAACGCUGGCGGCGUGCUUAACACAUGCAAGUCGAACGGAAAGGCCCUGCUUUUGUGGGGUGCUCGAGUGGCGAACGGGUGAGUAACACGUGAGUAACCUGCCCUUGACUUUGGGAUAACUUCAGGAAACUGGGGCUAAUACCGGAUAGGAGCUCCUGCUGCAUGGUGGGGGUUGGAAAGUUUCGGCGGUUGGGGAUGGACUCGCGGCCUAUCAGCUUGUUGGUGGGGUAGUGGCUUACCAAGGCUUUGACGGGUAGCCGGCCUGAGAGGGUGACCGGCCACAUUGGGACUGAGAUACGGCCCAGACUCCUACGGGAGGCAGCAGUGGGGAAUAUUGCACAAUGGGCGGAAGCCUGAUGCAGCAACGCCGCGUGCGGGAUGACGGCCUUCGGGUUGUAAACCGCUUUCGCCUGUGACGAAGCGUGAGUGACGGUAAUGGGUAAAGAAGCACCCGCUAACUACGUG
rnacentral:rRNA from 1 species